CCGACGGUGGCGAGGAACGCGAGGCCGUCCUGCAGGCGGCUGGCGACGUUCUCGGUGGCGCGCUGGAUGUUCGACAUGACCCAGUCGGAC
rnacentral:tRNA from 1 species